rnacentral:rRNA from 1 species
ACACGUAGGGGCCUGACGUUGUUCGGAAUCAUUGGGCGUAAAGGGCGCGCAGGCGGCCGUCCAAGUCCGGUGUUAAAUGGUCGGGCUCAACCCGAUCAUGCGCUGGAAACUGGGCGGCUUGAGUCCCGUAGGGGAUGCCGGAAUUCCAGGUGUAGGGGUGAAAUCUGUAGAUAUCUGGAAGAACAACGAUGGCGAAGGCAGGCAUCUGGCCGGAGACUGACGCUGAGGCGCGAAGGCGCGGGGAGCGAACAGGUUUAGAUACCCUGGUAGUCCGCGCAGUAAACGAUGCGCACCAGGUGUCGGGCGGCAGCGCCCGGUACCGGAGCUAACGCGAUGAGUGCGCCGCCUGGGGAGUAUGCCCGCAAGGGUGAAACUCAAAUGAAUUGACGGGG